rnacentral:rRNA from 1 species
AAUACCUGUGAAGAUACAGGUUACCCGCGGCAGGACGGAAAGACCCCGUGGAGCUUUACUACACCUUGGCAUUGGACUGGGGUUUAGCGUGUAGAGGAUAGCUGGGAGGCUAUGAAGCUCAGGCGUCAGCCUGGGUGGAGCCAACAGUGGAAUACCAGCCUCGCUGAACUUUAGCUCUAACGGUGCCCCUGAUCGGGGCUCCGGACAGUGCCUGGCGGGUAGUUUGACUGGGGCGGUCGCCUCCCAAAAUGUAACGGAGGCGCCCAAAGGUUCCCUCAGCCUGGGCGGAAAUCAGGCGCAGAGUGCAAUGGCAUAAGGGAGCUUGACUGUGAGACAAACGAGUCGAGCAGAGACGAAAGUCGGGCAUAGUGAUCCGACGGCCCGGUGUGGAAUGGCCGUCGCUCAACGGAUAAAAGUUACCCCGGGGAUAACAGGCUUAUCGGGCCCAAGAGUUCACAUCGACGGCCCGUUUUGGCACCUCGAUGUGCGCUAGUCGCAUCCUGGGGCUGGAGUCGGUCCCAAGGGUUGGGCUGUUCGCCCAUUAAAGCGGUACGCGAGCUGGGUUUAGAACGUCGUGAGACAGUUCGGUCCCUAUCCGCCGUGGGCGUAGGAGACUUGAGGAGGGUUGACCCUAGUACGAGAGGACCGGGUUGAACGGCCCGCUAGUGUACCGAUUGUCACGCCAGUGGCAGCGUCGGGUAGCCAUGGCCGGUUUGGAUAAGCGCUGAAAGCAUCUAAGUGCGAAGCCAACUCCAAGAUAAGGUUUCCCACCGGGUUAACCGGGUAAGGGCCCUGCUAGACCAGCAGGUUGAUAGGCCGGAGGUGUAAGAGAAGUAAUUCUUUGAGCUGACCGGUACUAAUAGCCCGAGGGCUUGUUCACCUAUAACUCACUCU